GCAUAAUACCCGCUCGCCGGUGCCUUUCGGGGCCUAAGAGGGAACACGUCGUCGUGACUGCCCCCGCAACUGUAUGCAGCGAGUCCACGCCAUUUUGCGCCACUGGUAUCACCGGGAAGGCCGGCGUCGGACAGCGACCUGCUAGUCAGAAGACCUACCGGCCAACUGUUCGUGCCA
rnacentral:ncRNA from 16 species